rnacentral:rRNA from 1 species
UGGGCGAAAGCCUGACGGACCAACACCGCGUGGAGGGAUGAAGCCCUUCGGGUUGUAAACUGCUUUUCUGGGGGAAGAACAUGCUUACGGGUCCCCAGUAAUAAGCACCGGCUAAUUAUGUGCCGGCAGCCGCGGUAAUACGAAUGGUGCUAGCGGUACCCGGAUAUUAUUGGGCGUAAAGCGUCCGCAGGCGGCGAACUAAGUCCGCUAUUAAAUCACCCAGCUCACCUGGGGUAUAGUGCCCGAAACUGUUGUGCUAAAUACUUGCAUAGGUAAUUGGAAUUCGGUCU